UGCCAGCCGCCGCGGUAACACGGAGGGCGCGAGCGUUGUUCGGAAUCACUGGGCGUAAAGCGCGCGUAGGCGGUUGCGUAAGUCAUUUGUGAAAGCCCGAGGCUCAACUUCGGGACGCCAGGUGAGACUGCGUAACUAGAGCAUGGUAGAGGCAAGUGGAAUUCCCGGUGUAGCGGUGGAAUGCGUAGAUAUCGGGAAGAACACCAGUGGCGAAGGCGACUUGCUGGGCCAUUGCUGACGCUGAGGUGCGAAAGCGUGGGGAGCAAACAGGAUUAGAUA
rnacentral:rRNA from 1 species